GACGAACGCUGGCGGCGUGCCUAAUACAUGCAAGUUGAGCGCUGAAGGUUGGUACUUGUACCAACUGGAUGAGCAGCGAACGGGUGAGUAACGCGUGGGGAAUCUGCCUUUGAGCGGGGGACAACAUUUGGAAACGAAUGCUAAUACCGCAUAAAAACUUUAAACACAAGUUUUAAGUUUGAAAGAUGCAAUUGCAUCACUCAAAGAUGAUCCCGCGUUGUAUUAGCUAGUCGGUGAGGUAAAGGCUCACCAAGGCGAUGAUACAUAGCCGACCUGAGAGGGUGAUCGGCCACAUUGGGACUGAGACACGGCCCAAACUCCUACGGGAGGCAGCAGUAGGGAAUCUUCGGCAAUGGACGAAAGUCUGACCGAGCAACGCCGCGUGAGUGAAGAAGGUUUUCGGAUCGUAAAACUCUGUUGGUAGAGAAGAACGUUGGUGAGAGUGGAAAGCUCAUCAAGUGACGGUAACUACCCAGAAAGGGACGGCUAACUACG
rnacentral:rRNA from 1 species